UUAAUUCCAAGAAAGAGUUUAGGGUGGAAGUGGAGGCCAUUGGCCAUGUUGGGCAUAAGAAUCUUUGUUCAGCUUCUUGAUUAUUGCAUUGAAGGGGUUCACAGGAUGUUGGUGUACGAGCAAGUAUGUAAAGAGACAGCAAUGCAUCUUGCUGAAAGUUCUACUCGGGACUGCAAAGGCUUGCUUAUCUUCGUGAGUCUAUAGAACCAAAAGUCGUCUGGUGGCUUGGUAUUGGGGGUGACUCGUGACCACGAGAUUAUGGAUUCAAAUCUUUGACGUCUCUGAGUCUUACUUGUCACACAUGAUUCGCUUAGCGUGACUUGUCUUAUCGGAUUUAGUUUGUAGACUAUCUGGUUUGGCCGGGUUACCCAGAGCGUACUCGAAGAGUAACGGGUACGGGUAUAAAAGAAAUAUCGUCCAUCGCGAUAUAAAA